UACAGAGGGUGCUAGCGUUGUUCGGAAUCACUGGGCUUAAAGGGCGCGUAGGCGGGCGGUCAAGUCCGGGGUGAAAGCCUCCAGCUAAACUGGAGAAGUGCCUCGGAUGCUGAUUGUCUUGAGGAGGGUAGGGGCAUCUGGAACUAGCGGUGGAGCGGUGAAAUGCGUUGAUAUCGCUAGGAACUCCGGUGGCGAAGGCGAGGUGCUGGACCCUUUCUGACGCUGAGGCGCGAAAGCCAGGGGAGCGAACGGG
rnacentral:rRNA from 1 species